AUAGAUUCAAAUAAAUAAUCGAUUAUUAUCGCGCUCUAGGUCGGACUAGGUUAGGUUAGGUUAGGUUAGGUUAGGUUUGGUUAGGUUCGGUUGGGCUUGGACGGCCUGGGGCCUCAAUUAACGGCUUUGUUAUUGUUUUGUGUCCGUAUAACUAGACUGUUACCGAAAAGUUUAUUC